rnacentral:rRNA from 1 species
AGAGUUUGAUCCUGGCUCAGAUUGAACGCUGGCGGCAUGCCUUACACAUGCAAGUCGAACGGCAGCGCGGGGCAACCUGGCGGCGAGUGGCGAACGGGUGAGUAAUAUAUCGGAACGUGCCCUGGAGUGGGGGAUAACGCAGCGAAAGUUGCGCUAAUACCGCAUACGAUCUAAGGAUGAAAGCAGGGGACCGCAAGGCCUUGUGCUCCUGGAGCGGCCGAUAUCUGAUUAGCUAGUUGGUGGGGUAAAGGCCUACCAAGGCAUCGAUCAGUAGCUGGUCUGAGAGGACGACCAGCCACACUGGAACUGAGACACGGUCCAGACUCCUACGGGAGGCAGCAGUGGGGAAUUUUGGACAAUGGGCGAAAGCCUGAUCCAGCAAUGCCGCGUGAGUGAAGAAGGCCUUCGGGUUGUAAAGCUCUUUUGUCAGGGAAGAAACGGUGUGGGC